UACAGAGGUCCCGAGCGUUGUUCGGAUUUACUGGGCGUAAAGGGUGCGUAGGUGGUGAGGUAAGUCGGAUGUGAAAUCUCCGGGCUCAACCCGGAAAUGGCAUUGGAAACUACCUUGCUGGAGGAUUUGAGGGGGGAUUGGAAUACUUGGUGUAGCAGUGAAAUGCGUAGAUAUCAAGUGGAACACCAGUGGCGAAGGCGAAUCCCUGGAAAAUACCUGACACUGAGGCACGAAAGCUAGGGGAGCAAACAGG
rnacentral:rRNA from 1 species